CACGUAGGCACCAAGCGUUGUCCGGAUUUAUUGGGCGUAAAGAGCUCGUAGGCGGUUCAGUAAGUCGGGUGUGAAACUUUGGGCUUAACCCAAAGCGUGCAUCUGAUACUGCUGUGACUUGAGUUCGGUAGGGGAGUGGGAAUUCCGUCAGUGUAGCGGUGAAAUGCGCAGAUAUUAGGAGGAACAGCCGGUGGCGAAGGCGCCACUCUGGGCCGAAACUGACGCUGAGGAGCGAAGCAUGGUAGCAAACAGG
rnacentral:rRNA from 1 species